rnacentral:miRNA from 1 species
UAAAGUGACAGGUCUAAGGUCA